rnacentral:lncRNA from 1 species
CGAUAUGCUGAACACGCCUCGACACUGGGAACCGAGCGAUUCUCUCAAUUCGCGCAGAUGCCCCCACCGAGUUCCACCUCUCCGAGACAACACCGGCACACGGAUAUUUAAGAAGGUCUCAAGCAGAAAUCAAGCAGUCCUGAACGACCGUUCUGGGCUCCAUAACCAGCCAAGCGAAGUGAGCGAGGCAGGCCGACCUGAGUCGCAAACUUAGGCAGGCCAACUCGAGACGCAAGGUGUACCGAAGUGAGACGCCUAUCCGGGGGAGGACUUCGCUGGGACGGAAUAGAAAACGGAAUUAUUAUUUUGACUUAUUUUGUAUAUAAUUUAGAAUUGAUAGAUUUGCUUUAUUUUCAA